UUAAGCCUGUCCCCGAUGUUAAAUCGGGUCGGGCUGCGUCACCGACGCUGUCUGAGUUGGCCUUAAGCCUGUGAAAUAAUGUGCAUCGGUCGACGGUUGUCCGCGCAAUACUUUGGAGACACGCAUGAUACGCACACGACGGAUAGUUUUCAAUGACGAUCCGUUUAGUGUAGAGUGCCACCUAUAGUAGGUAGACGGCGAAGUGGCGUCAUAUGCUCACACAGAGCAAAAAUAGAUCGUCGAUCGACAGGCGACCAAUCGUCGGCCGAUACAGUGUGUGCCCGCAAUAGGUCUAUAAAAAAUAACAGCCACUCCUGUGCUGUAUGGACAUAAAAGCACACUAUCAUUUUUAAACUCUAUUUCUCUAGUUUAAACUAAAAUCCUAACCAUUAAGCUAUUAAGCUUUGCAGUGGCGUACCUAGGAGUCUUAUAAUGGGAGGGGGGCUGUUGGGAAAGCA